UUCAAACCCCACCUAUCUUAUCUCUUAUUUUGUUCUCUCUCUAUUUAGGAAGCAUUGGAAUCUCUAACCGCCGUACUAAUAACCGCAUCUCCACUGUUGCACAUUUCCACCAUCGACAGAUCCAUGGUAAAUGUUUCAGCCUCCCUGGAAACCAUAAAAUCGGAUCAAACAAAAUCCGACAACUCAUUUUUUAUUCCAAUCAAUUAUUCAUCCCCACCCCUUGCUCCAUUCUCAUCAGUUGAAAAUGAGUAGUUCAGAUAGAAUCGAACUUUCGAUCGAUCCGGGUUUCGCACCCCUUUCUGCUAGAAUUUAAUUCCUUGACAAUGAAAGUUGCUUUCUAAGAAAGACACUUGAUGGAAAGUUCAGGUAUACAUGGGGAGUGAUUACAGGUUAGGUUUAGUAAAACGUAAGUAUCUAUUUAGUCAAGGUUGUUUUUUUUAUAUAUAUUUUAAUCUUUCACAACAGUUCUUUUACUAUUAUCUUAUUUUAUACCUCACAAUGAUAUUGUGCACAAUCAACAUCAAGAGUCAAUCGAUACAUUCCUGGGAAUCACGUGUUCAUCUAAAGUUUUUUUAUCCACCAAGUCCGAUCAAAAUCGAGUUGUUAAAGCCCCUGGUUGUAAGCUAACAUACUAGACUACCAAGAAGAGGGCAAGUGGACCAUAAUGCCCUAUUAAUGGGAAGAGAAUCCAUGGGAUGGUUCCAUGACAGCAAUACUGUAACCAAAUUGAUAAGUCAUUUGCUCAUGUUAAUCUGGGGAGAUGAGAAUUCAAUAGCGAUUGCAUGGCGGGGCAAUGGAAAACUCUUUCGGUGAUGUUAGGGAUUAGAAGGAAGAUAUCACACAAGCAUGCUCUCAAAUGUUGUCUCAGUUGCAUAACAUAUAUGAUUAUGACAAAGUGAGUAUUGUUACUUUUGCGUUUUCUUGCUAUUUUUGAGUUUUAUCUUUGAGAUUUACUAUUAAAUUCAUCUUGUUUGAUGGUGCUUUGAUACAUAUACCCUCUGUUGAGAUGUGGUUGCUGAAGCAAAGAAAACCCAAACACAAUUUUUGGAUACACUUUAUCAUAGCAAAAUAACGCAUCAACACAUGUUAUUCAUCUCAAGGAGUUGUUUGGUCCGUAUUCCGAAGGGGUCGGUGUUUUAACCAUAUGCUUUUCUUUUCUCAAGUUUAGACCACAAUAUCAUAUGUAUGAGUAUGUUAUUCAUUAGUUAGUUCAUUCUGUAACAACUUGAUCUCUUUAAUUAUGUGUGGUAUAUAUUGUUUAAGAAUCUCA